GUUUUCUAUGGAUCUUAACCUAGUUUUAUGUACUAACAUAAUAGAUUGGAUUUGAGAAUAAGCCAUUUCCUUCAUAUCCCCUUUAAAUACCAUUGUGUAUUCACUGCAAUUCUGAUUUGUAUAGUUUCUUUUUCUGAAAUUCAAUCCUAACUAUAUAUUUUAACUGUUAUCUCAGUAUUCUGCUAGGUUCCAUAAGAAAUUCAAACAAAGUAUCAGAUAUAAUUUCUCUGAUCGAAGACUGUCCAAUCUAGUCAAGUAGUCGAGACACAGAACUACAUGGCUUCCGGCAGUCAAGCAACAGAAUAAGUGAAGUGGCAGGAUUUGGAUAAUAGUUGAAUGGGUGAAGAUUAUUUUCCAAACAAAGAUAAUAAUAAAAUAACCAUAGUUCUAAUGAUAGAACUGAGUGAAAUAUAUAUGCCAUGAGAAAGAAUAAACUAUCUUGAUUUGGAGGUAUGGGGGGAGGAGUAGGAAAUACUGGUAAACUAUUACAUGAUUAGAUGGCUUGAGCCUGAAAUAUCAGGCAGACAAGUUUUACCCAAGGUAUAUCAACUUGACUAUGAAAUAAAACAGGCUUGAGUUAGGGAGUCAGUAGAAGGAAAAAGAAGUAGAUCAUAAGUAUGCAUAGAGUAUACAUUGGUAAGAUUCAGAGCUAAGUUAGAUAACCUCUAAGAUUUAACAA
rnacentral:lncRNA from 1 species